UUGAAGGCCUGACCACUAGAGUCUGCUGGGGGCGGGCGUACUAGAGUCUUACUUGGAGGAAGACCCAGGGCUCUCUGAGGGGCCCACUGCUGAUUCAUGAGAACACUUCUGUGCCCACAGCCUCUGUGUGGUGGUGGCAGAGUGAAUCUCUCAGGGCACACCCAGGCCUCAAGUAGACUCUGCUCCUCUGGCUUUUUGGAUUUAUCUGCCUCCAUAAAACAUGUACUUGAUCCUGGUAAAAACCAAGAUUUUGCAGUUGACAGACAAAACUGGAGCUGCUCCUUUCACUUUGUCCUCAUCUAGAAGAUACUAAAAUAGUGAAAGGGAAGGUCUUAAGAAAGUGCCUCCAGACCUGUUGAAAGCAUGAAACUGCUUCAGACUCUUGGUUCAGACAGCCCAGAAUUGUCUUUUCUGACUGGCAGAGGUUUACAAAAGCAUCAGGCAGAGAUCAUUUUGCAGCCCUGCUUCCCAAUAUCCUUUUAACUGGAGAUGCCACAGAUUGAACCUGGAACCUUCCUCAUACGAAGUGUGUGUUCUGCCAGUGAACUAAGGGCCUUCCCGACAAUGGGGAGAAUGCAUGUGAACGUGUGCAGAGUGUCUUUCUCUUAUUCCUGAAUUAUAACCACAUACCUGCUGUCACGGAUCCCACCCUGCUGCCACCAGGUGUCACAGCCCUGUGAUUUUUAAGUUUACCCGCGGCUACCAAGCAGACUUUUAGGCUUUCCCAGUCUACUGAAACCAGCCUUCCAACUUCUGUUGUAAUAAUUAGAGUGUGGUAAAGGCUUAAGGUGUGGGGUGCAAAAAACAGAUAGAAGCCACAGAUCUUUAAAUACAAACAAUAAUGUUUACUUUGAAAACAGUUCAAUUUAAAACAAUCGUUCCUUUGGGGAUAAAACAGCAACCAAAUGAGCACAAGGAUGAAAUAAACUGUGACCAAAAUGCGUCCAAACUGACCUGUUUAACUAACACUGGGCCCUAACAUAAGAGUCCUUACCCAGAGUCUUCUGCAAUCACCUCAGCUUCUCUAGCAAACCCGGCUUGUCCCUUGUUUAGUCUUAGGUUAAACACGUAGGUUAAACAGUCUCACUGCAUAGUUCUGAGGUUUCAAUCCCAGGCUACUGGUGAGUGAUUCAGUUCUCCAGAGAGAUCGGCUCUCUCCAGUUGAUUUUUCAGCCCUUAUUCUCAGCAACUCCUUUCAGUUAUAUCCCACUCUUCAACUCUUUCCAGCUCUGAUGUCCACUUGAUGUUCACUCUGACUCCUUCCAACUCGGACUCUUCAGUUCUCCAACUUGAACUACACUAAAUUCUACUGAAGGCAGCCUCCCUAUAUUCUCUAGCAUCCCUCCAAUUUUUCCAAACCAUCCAAACAACACAACUUAAGUUCCCUCCAGUUCUAAAAACAUACCCAAUAAAAUCAAACCCUCUCUUCCCUCCAAAAUCAAACCAGUACAAUUAAUCUCACUCCAAAAGCAAACUGUAGAUCCUUUGAACCUUUGACCCCUGCACAACUUCCUUAACAUAAGAAAUAAGCAAAGCAAUUGCAACAACAAAAAUCUUAUAUACAAAAAGAGGAGGUUUAGGCCUUGUUUCUUCACACCUGCCAACAUUUUAGAAUGAGAAAUAGGGACAAUCCCCCACCUCCUUGCCAGGCAGGCUUUCUGAAGUCAGUGCUUCUUUCUUCUGAAAAGCAAAUAGGAUUAUCAAAUAAUCCUACCCUUUCUGCAGAGAUUUGAAGCAAGUGCUCUCUUAAACAAAUCAGACCCUGCUUUCCUGCAGGAAAAUCCACGCACUCUGAGAGAGAGACCUGGUGGCCAGGCUCCCUUCAGAGAGAUGAUGUCUCUCGCGACAGUCUCCUCCCUCAAAAUGUAUAAGCCACAGAUGACUCUCUGAAGGGAGGAGGGAAGCGGUGGAAAUUGAGGUUUUCCACUGAGCGAUCAUGAGCCAGGAAACAUGGUGGGAAUUAGGGGUGUGCGAGCCAGCUGUGAGAACAGUUCAGUUCAAAUCUGGACCAGACUGGAUUCAAACUGACCUGUGCUCAGCCUCAGCCCAACUGAGUCUGUUCGGGCCCUCAAAUUGGGCCAAACCGGUUCAUGGGCUGGCUCAAGGGGUAUUCUUGUAAAGGGGAAUCAGGUGAGGAUUCCUCUUUACAAGUACAGGGGGAUUCCCUAACCAAAGGGGGGGGGCAAGAGGAAAAGGUCCUUUUAACCUUUAAAUUGUAGGUUCUGGGGCAGCAGAGGUGGCUGCGAUGGCCGCUGUGAUGGCAGCAAUCUCUGUGGGGGCGGCAGUGGCUCCUCCAACCCCCCUGCCAGCAUCCAAAAUGAUAGUCUGGGCCAGCUGCGGCCCAGUUCAGGCCUCUGCGCACAUGCAGAGGCUAUUUUUGUGACCUCUGCUCAUGAACACAGGCCAUUUGCAUCACCACACAAUUUGCUUGGUAAUGCAAAUGACUUCAGUGCAUGUGCAAAUGUCACUAAAAUAGUGUUUGUGCAUGCGCAGAGGCCUGAAUCAGCCAGCCCGGGCUGUCAUUUUGGAGGCCAGUGAAAUCCUCGGAUUCCCCUUUACAAGUAUACCCCCCUGAGCUGGCCUGUGAUCCAGUUCUUUGAACCAGGGCCCAGGCCAGUUUGAACUCAAACUGCCGAACUGGGCCACUUUGAUGUCCCUAGUGGGAAUAUGUGGCCUUCCUGGGUAAAUCAGGGCAGUUGGUAGGUAUGCAACCAUCAGUCCUUGCACUCUAGGAUUAGGGAAAGGUUAUCGAAGGCAGUAAAUGUGACACUCAGGCAAAAAGCCUUAGUACCUCUCUCACUUUAGAAAGUAAGCAAUGCACUGAGCACACAGUCACUCCCAAGCAGGCAAUAGGGUCCCCCACUCUACAGUCUGCUUAGCAUAGUUGUUAAUCCAACUGCUAGCAUGUCCUCUAUCUACUUUCUUUUAAACUAUCCAAUUUAAAGAUUGCAACUUUAAAUAUCCCAUUUUCUGGGGUCAGGUUCUGUAUUUACAAAAGUAAAAAAACCAGCUUAGAAGUUUAAUGAGUUGUGUCCUUAGAAGCGACAAUGUGCUUGUGUGAACUUAGGAAGGCAAGUUGCAUUUUUUCAAAGAAAUGAAAAGAAAGCUAAGCUUUAGUAACAUCAAUUAAUCUUCACAAGGUCACAGUUUACAUAAUUUUAAUUAACUUCCAUUGAGUAUUAAUGUUCACUUUCCAAAUGAAAAUAUGUUCAUUAAAACACUUAUUAAAUAGCUUUGCUGUGAUGCUGCUAAAGAAUGCUAAGCAGGGAGCAAUCUAAAUCCUCUUUUUAAGCAUUCCUGACAGUGGCGGCUGGCAGUACAUUUGUGCUUAAUGGUUUCCAAAGGCACAAUUGAGCAGGCAGUUCUACUGCACAAGUUCUUGCACAGCUCCAGUUCCACUGUGCUCUUUUGUAGUUCCCAUUUGUUUCAAUGGGGCUUGUAAGAUAUAACUUCCACUGAAUUAUGACCAGAAUCCUUUCCAUUUACCAAAAUAAAAACAUUUUUUAAAGGUUGCA